rnacentral:rRNA from 1 species
CAUCGCCUGGGGCGAUAAUCCCAGGUACCGCCUGCCCGGUGAUAAUUCAACGGCCGCAGUAUUUUGACUGUGCAAAGGUAGCAUAAUCACUUGUCUCUUAAUUGGAGGCUGGUAUGAAUGGCGAAACGCGACGAACACUGUCACGAUGUCACAAGUGAAACUUAAUAUGUAAGUCAAAAAGCUUACGUGAAAACGCAGGACGAGAAGACCCCGUAGAUCUUAACACCCGCCCACCGGUUUGACCGGAAACCGCAUUGCCGGGAAGGUUCAGUGUUUGAUUGGGGUGAUCGGGGGCGACACAACGCUCCCCACUUAAACCAAAAUGAGUGGCCAUAAGACCCGGGUUGCCGAUUACGAGAAUAAGUUACCUCGGGGAUAACAGCGUAAUCUGAAUUCAGAGUCCUUAUCAAAAUUCAGGUUUGCGACCUCGAUGUUGGAUUAAGAACCCUCGCAGGUGCAGCCACCUGCGUCGGGGGUCUGUUCGACCUUUAAAUUCUUACAUGAUCU